rnacentral:tRNA from 1 species
GGUGGUAUGGUCUAGUGGUAUGACGUCACGUUGUGGCUUGAUUGCAGCAUCCGUGCCAGCCUCAGUUCGAUUCUGGGUACCGCCA